rnacentral:miRNA from 1 species
UGAGUCUUCCCCUUGAG